ACAACAUUGAGACCGUCGGUCUACAGAUCAAUAUCCCCCGCUCGGUGGAAGAUCUUUCACUUCGUCGU
rnacentral:pre_miRNA from 1 species